UAGAAAGUGGCUCGCAGUAUUUGAAGAUAAUUUUUGACUGCUUGAGUUUUGCAGUUAUAAAUAUGCGGCCUGAUGCCGUCAAGUAGAAAUGUUAAACAGAAAAGCGAAUUGUGAAAAAUAUUUAUACAGUUUUACUGAGGACAUAUAAAUUUAGGAAUUUUUGGAAAACUAAGGAAUAGAAAUAGCUUUUGUCAAGGAAUGCUUCCUAUGUUUGCUACUCUUUACCGCCGUAUCCAAUACAGCAACUGUUUCCGUCACAGAAUAGAGUUUGAACGGCGCUAGCUGCGAAAGAUGUAUCGCUUUCGACAGUUUCGCUUGCUUUUAUGGAAGAAUUUCCUUCUUCAGGUAAUAUAGCAUUCGCGUUUUACUUUGUAUAUACUCGGAAUUUUUAGACAGCUUGUGCACAUAGUCGUUCUAAGUAGUAUUCGCGUUCGAACAAGCUAUAUUUAUAUGAGCACAUAUUUUAUGAAUAAUCAGUCCUUUUAAAGAUACAAAAAGAAGUAUCAAAGUCAGUCAGGCAUGCGCAUAUUUUGCGAUUUCAAAGACUUGAAAAAGCUAUAUUUUUGAAGCAAUAUGUUCGUCGUGUCGGGAUUGUGUAAACAAAGUCAUCCAUCCAUCAUAAUAUUUCCGUCUGCUCUUGUACUGUACAAAAUAAUGGAAAAUUUUACUACCAAAUGAAGUGCUACACAACCACUUUGCUCUUUAUAAAUAGUUCAUAAAGCAUUUCUAUGUUUAUAUUUCAAAAUAAAUCUCUACAGUUCGAGGAGCCAUUAUUAAUAAUAUGCGAUUAUAUUCUAAAUUUGUAUUUUGACUUCUAGAUUCGGCGGCCAAUCGGGACUAUUUUUGAAAUCGUUCUCCCUGUCGUUUUUGUUGCGAUUUUGAUCCUAGCUAGGUGAGUUGUUUUUUUAAUCCAGACUAAUUUAAAAUCGUGUAAAAUAUU